rnacentral:tRNA from 1 species
GAAAUUAGUUAAUAAAACUCAUAACAUUAAUUUGUCAAAUUAAAAUAAACUUACCACCCAUGACGUUAUUUCU